rnacentral:rRNA from 1 species
CCUACGGGUGGCUGCAGUCGAGGAUCUUCGGCAAUGGGGGCAACCCUGACCGAGCGACGCCGCGUGGAGGAUGAGGCCCUUCGGGGUGUAAACUCCUGUUGCCCGGGACGAAUGGCGGACAUCGGUCCGCUUGACGGUACCGGGUGAGGAAGCACCGGCUAACUCUGUGCCAGCAGCCGCGGUAAUACAGAGGGUGCGAGCGUUGUCCGGAAUCACUGGGCGUAAAGGGCGCGUAGGCGGCGGGUCACGCGUGCCGUGAAAGCCCGGGGCUCAACCCCGGGUCGGCGGUGCGAACGGGCUCGCUCGAGCGUACGAGAGGCAGGCGGAAUUCCGGGUGUAGCGGUGGAAUGCGUAGAGAUCCGGAAGAACACCGGUGGCGAAGGCGGCCUGCUGGCGUACGGCUGACGCUGAGGCGCGACAGCGUGGGGAGCAAACAGGAU